AGUGAACGCUGGCGGUAGGCCUAACGCAUGCAAGUCGAACGGCAGCACAGUAAGAGCUUGCUCUUACGGGUGGCGAGUGGCGGACGGGUGAGGAAUACAUCGGAAUCUACUUUUUCGUGGGGGAUAACGUAGGGAAACUUACGCUAAUACCGCAUACGACCUACGGGUGAAAGCAGGGGAUCUUCGGACCUUGCGCGAUUGAAUGAGCCGAUGUCGGAUUAGCUAGUUGGCGGGGUAAAGGCCCACCAAGGCGACGAUCCGUAGCUGGUCUGAGAGGAUGAUCAGCCACACUGGAACUGAGACACGGUCCAGACUCCUACGGGAGGCAGCAGUGGGGAAUAUUGGACAAUGGGCGCAAGCCUGAUCCAGCCAUACCGCGUGGGUGAAGAAGGCCUUCGGGUUGUAAAGCCCUUUUGUUGGGAAAGAAAAGCAGCAGGUUAAUACCCCGCUGUCCUGACGGUACCCAAAGAAUAAGCACCGGCUAACUUCGUG
rnacentral:rRNA from 1 species